GGUAGACAAGCUUAUUCCACAAAGUCUCUUGGCUCCACCCUUGUUAAGUCAAACCGGCCACGUGUGGGUCAUUUUACCUUUGCUAUAUAGGAAGCCUGAGGAGGUGUGGGGGAAUUGCCUCCCUGGGAGAGACUGAAGCUUGGGUUGCCUAGGGUGUUUUUCUCUUGUGGUGAAUUGGGCUCAGCGUUCCCCAGUAGGCUGCUUUUCCUUCAUGUUUUUUGCCCUCUCUGUGAAAUAGUUUUAGAGACUCUAUGAGCUAGUUACAUUGGUGGUGCCUUCUUCAGUAAAACCCUGGUGGCACUAUUUCACAGCGAAGCGCUUUGGAAGUGGCUCGAGUUCAGAAGACAGCAGAAUCUUGCAUAGUGAUUGGAGGGUCCAGAUUAGAAGGAAAUAUCAGCUAUGCAGGUCAAAACUGGAGACUAAGGGAUCAGUUCUGUCCAACAGCCAUGGAACAAAGAUUCAACAUUUGGG
rnacentral:lncRNA from 1 species